rnacentral:rRNA from 1 species
UAAUACGUAGGUGACAAGCGUUAUCCGGAUUUACUGGGCGUAAAGGGCGUGUAGGCGGUCUUGCAAGUCAGAAGUGAAAUUCCUGAGCUCAACUCGGGCGCUGCUUCUGAAACUGCAGGACUUGAGUGCUGGAGGGGAUAGCGGAAUUCCUAGUGGAGCGGUAAAAUGCGCAGAUAUUAGGAAGAACACCGGUGGCGAAGGCGGCUAUCUGGACAGUAACUGACGCUGAGGCGCGAAAGUGUGGGGAGCAAACAGGAUUAGAUACCCUGGUAGUCCACACUGUAAACGAUGAAUGCUAGGUGUAGGGGGUAUCGACCCCUUCUGUGCCGCAGUUAACACAAUAAGCAUUCCGCCUGGGGAGUACGGCCGCAAGGUUGAAACUCAAAGGAAUUGACGGGGGCCCGCACAAGCAGCGGAGCAUGUGGUUUAAUUCGAAGCAACGCGAAAAACCUUACCAGGUCUUGACAUGGGGAUGACCGGUGUAGAGAUACACUUUUUCUUCGGAACAUCCCACACAGGUGGUGCAUGGUUGUCGUCAGCUCGUGUCGUGAGAUGUUGGGUUAAGUCCCGCAACGAGCGCAACCCUUAUGAUUAGUUGCUACGCAAGAGCACUCUAAUCANACUGNCGUUGACA